AGAGUUUGAUCCUGGCUCAGAACGAACGUUGGCGGCGUGGAUAAGGCAUGCAAGUCGAACGAUCCCUUCGGGGAUAGUGGCAAAAGGGUGAGUAACGCGUGGGCAAUUUACCUUCGAGCGUGGGAUAACAUCCCGAAAGGGAUGCUAAUACCGCAUAAGACCACGAUCUCGCAUGAGAUUGAGGUCAAAGGUGGGGACCGUAAGGCCCAUCACUUGAAGAUGAGCCCGCGUCCUAUCAGCUUGUUGGCGGGGUAAUGGCCCACCAAGGCAACGACGGGUAGCUGGUCUGAGAGGAUGGUCAGCCACACUGGGACUGAGACACUGCCCAGACUCCUACGGGAGGCUGCAGUCGAGAAUCUUUCGCAAUGGGCGCAAGCCUGACGAUGCGACGCCGCGUGAGCGAUGAAGGCCUUCGGGUUGUAAAGCUCUGUCACGUGGGACGAACGUCCUGAAGACUAAUAGUCUGAUGGGUUGACGGUACCACGAGAGGAAGCCACGGCUAACUCCGUGCCAGCAGCCGCGGUAAUACGGAGGUGGCAAACGUUGUUCGGAUUCAUUGGGUGUAAAGGGUAUGUAGGUGGCCUAGUAAGUCGGAUGUGAAAUCCUUUGGCUUAACCAAAGAACUGCAUUCGAAACUGCAUGGCUUGAGUUUUGGAGAGGAGAGUGGAAUUCCCGGUGUAAGAGUGAAAUCUGUAGAUAUUGGGAGGAACACCAGUGGCGAAAGCGACUCUCUGGCCAAAAACUGACACUGAAAUACGAAAGCUAGAGGAGCAAACAGGAUUAGAUACCCUGGUAGUUCUAGCCGUAAACGAUGAACACUAGGUGUGGGGUCCACAGGGCUCUG
rnacentral:rRNA from 1 species